CUAACUAUGAUGUUUAUAGCGUGACACGAGGAAGAAGAAAUAAUAUUUAAAAAAGAUUUUUGAAGAAAUACUAUAGAAGACAUUUUUAUAAAGCUGUUGUUUGAUUUAGAUGUGUAUCAGACAUUGUUAAAGCAAUUUUUGAAGAAAUACUGUAGAAGACAUUUUUAUAAAGCUGUUGUUUGAUCAGACAUUGUCAAAGCACAUUUUAUUUUGGAAUUUUAGCCUAGUUGGUUUACAUCCAUAGCUGAUUUCUAUACUUUACCAAUAGAGUGAUGCCACGUAAAUCAAAUAAGAGCAAAGCCUCCAAAGCCAAAGAACAAAAACUAAGAAUGAGAGAAAGAAGGUUGGCAGAGGAGGCUUUGCAACAGUCUACUGAUAUUGAUAAAAUUGAAGGAGAAAGCACUGAGAAUGGUUAUCCUGAAGGAGAAAACACUGUUCAUGAAUUUGCUGUCAAUAAAAUUGAAAGAAAUGACACUGUUAAUGAUUUGACUGUUAACUCUGUUGUCAAUAAAAGAAAUCACACUGAUAAUGAAUUGACUGUUAACUCUGUUGUCAAUAAUACUGAAAGAAAUCACACUGAUAAUAAAUUGACUGUUAACUCUGUUGUCAAUAAAAGAAAUCACACUGAUAAUGAAUUGACUGUUAACUCUGUUGUCAAUAAUACUGAAAGAAAUCACACUGUGAAUGAAUUGACUGUUAACUCUGUUGUCAAUAAAAGAAAUCACACUGUGAAUGCAUUGACUGUUAACUCUGUUGUCAAUAAAAGAAAUAACACUGAUAAUGAAUU